GGCCAAUUAAAGAAGCUGUUCACAAUACCAAGUCUUAGCUGGAAAAUUACUGCUUUGUUAAUAUUCACUAAUUGCAUUAUUAAUGAGCAUGGCAUGCUUUCUGUUUCAGCAUACUUGCAAAGAAAGAAAAAUAUGGCUUCACAUUUUAUGGGGUCACGCAUUUAAAGUCACGCCAACUUGAGAGUGAGGAAGCUGCCUGAGGUGAUAACUUACCUAUGGUGAUUGGUGGAACAGGUCAACAAUGACAAACCUGGGCAUCAAACUCCUCUGUUCUACAAACAGAAAGCUUAAAUCAAUUUCUCCGCCUAAGAACAUCACAGAAGCAGGUAAAAACGCAGAUAAAGUAUGGCAAUAUCAAUCCAAAGAUUACUAAUCACACAUGUACAAUCAUGGAAAGAACACUUCCAUCAAGAUCCAAAGCAUUACUACCUUUAGUUC
rnacentral:misc_RNA from 1 species